GUCUUAUUCAUGCCUACUGAAUUAAGAAAAUGGCAUUUGAUAACCUUCUGUUUCUCACAUGAUAAAAAAAAGAGGCCAACAUUCAGUGCAUCAUAUGCCUUAAAUCAUGUCAAAAGAGAUUUUACAGCUGCACAAAAACAAUGAAUAGAACACAAUUGAUUUGUGCUCCCUUUGUUUCUCAUUUCCCAAUAGAUUGAAGUGGCAACAAAAGUGGCAUAGCAAAAGAACAGCAUUCUUUUGGCACAUAAAAUCUCUGCACAGUAUACACGUGCUUGGAGAAGGCACCUGAUGGAUUAUUACUUUUCAACAAUAUGUUAACACAACAAAAUCUCUGCACAUAAUUUCUAGAAUUGUCCACUCUGUCCCACAUACCAAAUUCACAACAAUUUGUGAAGAGCACUCAAAUUAGAUGUCAACAUAAGUCCCCACAUGUUACUCAGCGACUUGAACACUAUCUUUGUAGGAUGUUGUAUCACAGGUUAAGAGUGGUAUGAGGUAGGGAUCCAAAUGUGUAGAUGAACCUAUUGCAACUUUUUUAAUUUAGCGUGUUAAAUUUUAUUCUUAGUUUAUGGACAUCAACAAUGACAGU
rnacentral:misc_RNA from 1 species